rnacentral:rRNA from 1 species
GUGAGACAGUUCGGUCUCUAUCUAUCGUGGGCGUAUGAAAUUUGCGUGGCUCUGACACUAGUACGAGAGGACCGUGUUGGACUGACCUCUGGUUUACCGGUUGUGCCGCCAGGUGCAUUGCCGGGUAUCUAAGUCGGGAUCGGAUAAGCGCUGAAAGCAUCUAAGUGCGAAGCCGGCCACAAGAUUAGAUUUCUCAGGGUCGUUAUAGACUAUGACGUUGAUAGGACGCAGGUGUAAAGCUGGUGACAGCAAAGCCGAGCGUUACUAAUUGCCCGUUGACUUUUUGCU